rnacentral:rRNA from 1 species
AGCUCAAAUUUAUAAUCUGGCACCUUCGGUGUCCGAGUUGUAAUCUCUAGAAGUGUUUUCCGCGUUGGACCGCACACAAGUCUGUUGGAAUACAGCGGCAUAGUGGUGAGACCCCCGUAUAUGGUGCGGACGCCCAACGCUUUGUGAUACACUUUCGAAGAGUCGAGUUGUUUGGGAAUGCAGCUCAAAUUGGGUGGUAAAUUCCAUCUAAAGCUAAAUAUUGGCGAGAGACCGAUAGCGAACAAGUACCGUGAGGGAAAGAUGAAAAGCACUUUGGAAAGAGAGUUAACAGUACGUGAAAUUGUUGGAAGGGAAACGCUUGAAGUCAGACUUGCUUGCCGAGCAAUCGGUUUGCAGGCCAGCAUCAGUUUUCCGGGGUGGAUAAUGGUAGAGAGAAGGUAGCAGUUUCGGCUGUGUUAUAGCUCUUUGCUGGAUACACCUUGGGGGACUGAGGAACGCAGUGUGCCUUACGGCGGAUUUCUCGAGAUCUUCACACUUAGGAUGCUGGUGGAAUGGCUUUAAACGACCC